CGGCCCGGUCACCACGUCCCGCCUCACGGCCCCAACGAGCCGGGCGGGGACCUAAAAUAAGAACAGGGAGGGCGUUUGAUAAAUUCCUUCGACCCGCCUGCCACUGAGGCGAUGGCCAGAACACCACUGAAAGAGGAGAGCAUAUGGUACAGCACGGCUCGUUUGUAUUUUUAAGGAGUUUCAUUAUAUAGAAAUCGAGCAAUCUAUCUAUAAAAAUAUAAGUACAAGGUCUAAGUAGGGAGAGAAAUACACAGCACCUGCUCGUGAGCACAAACUACCAUUGAAAAUCACUCGUUUCCACCUUAAAACCUCAGGCACGCCUGUGCCGGCAGUGCAGCUGCAGCCAAAGCCAUUACAACUGUGAUGUUUUGGGGUUCUAAUCGAUGCUGUGCCGCUCAGGUGGAAAUUGAUGGAAACACUGAAAUUUCACGAAGAAAACCUGCUGAUGAAAGGAAGGAGGACCCACGUUUCGCUCAGUCCAGAAGCAUCAGGAGAAUAUAGGUCUGACUUCACAGCUGAUGAGCCUGGGCAGGGCAGGAGAGGAAGCCACGCUGUUUAUCACCAAUGGCUUUUUAGCACACAGCUGUGCCAGUGCCUGACCACCCUUUCAGUGAAGGAUUUUUCCCAAUAUCUGAUCUGAACCUGUCUUGGCAUAACUUGAGGCCAUUCUCUCUCAUCCUAUUCCCUAGGAACAGAGCCUGACUCCCACCUGGCUGUCCCCUCCUGUCAGGAGUUGUGCAGAGCCAAAAGGUCCCCCUUGAGCCUCCUUUUCUCCAGGCUGAGCCCCCCCAGCAGCUCCAGCCCUUCUCCAGCUCUGUUCCCUUCUGUGAACGUGCUCCAGCCCCUCAAUGUCUUUUCUUGUUGGGAGGGACCAGGACUGCCCCCAGGGCUGGAGGUGCCUCAGCAAUGCUCAGGGGGACAGUCACUGCCCUGGUCCUGCUGGCACAAUGUUCCUGACAGGAUGUAUCACCAGUGCUGUAGGAAGGAGAAGAUGGCUCCUUGAUUGUCUCAGCACCCUCUAAACUGUCACUAAUUUUUUCCUCUUCUGCAUCUGAAUAAAAAUGAAAUGUUAGGUGAUGUUAAUAAAACUUCUCAAAUGGUCCCCCAAGCUGCAGGAAUUUUUCACUGCUCUGUGCACAGCCAGGCUUCCUGUAGCUUAAAGAGCUGGAGGUUGUCCUGUCCAUCACAGCUCCAAAACAGUUAACCAAACCCAGUCCCAGCAUCUUAAUCUGGCAAUUUAAAGAUAAGCUAAACAAAUACCAGGGCUGCUCAGAGCCCCACUGAGCAGGGAAAGGAUUCUUAUAAACCAUUUGCAUGGUGUAAAGCAGACACAGAGGGAAUCUAGCCUGGCAGUUCUGUCUGAUCCACCACUGCUUGAUUCAAACCAAGGGCUACAUCCCAUCUUCAGAGACAAAACUAGCAGGGUUCAUAGCUACACAUUCUCCUGCUUUCCCAUCCCUCUCCUGCCACCAUGUCCAGUCCUUGAUGCUCUGAAGAACCAAACAGCAUCUGAAGAGAGACAAACCAACAUCACCAGCUGGAAGACAUAAAGACCAACAAAAUGAAGAGGAGAGUGAAGUGGGGGGGAUGUCUGGAAAAUAACAAUGUUUAUUUAUCAUAAAUACAGAUCAGCUAGGUGUGCAGUUUAUCUCACAAGACUCUCCAGAAAGCCACACAGUAGAAAGCUGCCUCCCAGUUACUUCCCUUUUUUCACAAGACCAGGAUGAACUCACUUAU